GAAUUUGGCUGUAGAAAACGAGAAUGGUGGGGAAAUGGUGCGCAGUAAUUGUCUGGUCGACUGUAAUGUUUAUGGUGUCAGCAACUGUGUUCUCUGACUUGUUUUUAACCUCUAUUUUUGCAAUUUUUAAGUGUUUUUACACAGUCUAGAUGGGCUUUUGUUUUUUAGCGACUUUUACUUUAUGAAUUGUUUUAAAUAAAUAUUUUAUAAUGAAUAAGGACGGUUUUGCAUUUGAUCUCGACGUUCAAGAAGAAAAUGAUGAAGAACCUACGAGAAAAAAUAUAAAAACGGAACCGGAAUCAGAUGAAGACGAAAAUUACGAAUUUGAAAUUGGUUAUGAAGAACACUACAAAAUAAGUAAAGACGAUUGUUUUGACAAACUAUGUAAAAUGGCGUCUGAAAUCAAAAUGGAGCCCGAUGAUAACUUGGCGACUGAAAUACAUAUUGAACCUGUUUAUAACCUUCCUGAAAUCAAGAUAGAAUCUGACUGUAACUUGGCAACUGAAAACAAAAUGGUUCCUGACACUGAAAACAAAAUGGUACCUGACACUGAAAACAAAAUGGUACCUGACAUUAAAAACAAGGUGUCACCUGACACUAAAGGCCAAGACGACAAAAUUACCAUUAAACAAAAACCAAAUAUUGUGAAAAAUGUAAAGAUUGUCCCGAAGCUCGAGGAAAAAAAAUCGAAAUCAACAACCACUUGCUUUAAAACCGCCGAGAGGAGGAUUUUUAGGAAAAAACCGUCACAACAUCUGCGCCGUCCAUCGUUUUUUAACCGAAAUAGGUAUAACCGAUUGCAAAACAGGUUUGAUAACGUAAUGUUUUCGAAUAAUCAAGCGAGGCCGUGCCCUUGGCAAACGCCAACUUUGACCGAUCAAAACGUAUUGAUGCUUUUGUUAUUAAUGGCACCGCUUCAAAAUUUGCCGCAUUUUGAUGUUGGCAGAUGGCAAACGUAUGUUACAAUUUUGGAAGCUUUGAAGCGGUUAAAGGCACAAAAUGCUAAUUAUGCGUCUAAGAGGAAUAGUUUUAAACCGAGGAGAUUUCUGUGAAAUACGUUCAAAUUUUUGUGUAAUUUUUAUUUAUUAUAACUGUACAAGCUACAAAUUUAUUAAUAAAAGUAUCUGAUAAAUA